rfam:Trametes pubescens strain FBCC735 TRAPTBscaffold_497, whole genome shotgun sequence.
ACACUGAUGGUGAAACGGUAUCAUGCUUGCCUUCCACUGUUCAUGGUAGCAAGCGGCGUGGGUUCGACUCCCGCUCAGUGUA